UGCUUCCAAUUCCAUCUUGUGCUUUCUUCCCCUCCCAACAAUGAAAGCCCUCACUUAAAACUUAAUCACUUUCUCUAAAACCAACUCUCAAAAGUCUACAUCUUUAAACCCUUUUUCUUUCCAGAGAAUCCAAGCGAAAGCAAAAGCAUCGCGAUUAACUCACAAAGCGAAAGGCUGGAGAGGUGGACGACCGUGGUGGCCACUGCACUGCUGCCUAUUUCCUCUUGACUGCUGAUUACGGCUCCGAGCCCAACGCUCUUGACCCUUUCAUUGAUGUCGAAACGAUUGUUUCUCCAACAACUUUUGCCCGGCGUAGUUUGUCUUAUCUCAUGAGUGACAAGCUCUCAACGAUGCAAUGCAGGCACAAGUAGUUUCCCCAGUUUGGAAACUCUCAAAGACAAGGCGGGAUUCUGCUUUUAAUCACAAGGACUUUCGAACCACAUUCAUUGGUUUGGAACAAUGGUUUCUCCAACAAUUUUUGCCCCGCGUAGUUUGUCUUAUCUCAUGAGUGACAAGCCUCAGGAAGCUAUAAACGAUGCAAUGCAAGCACAAGUAGUUUCCCCAGUUUGGCACUUGCAUGUUAUCUUCAGGCUGUUGCCCCUUCGGCCCUUGGAAUGGAUGGUGAAGCUCAAGCAGCACUUACGGAGGGUACUAUGCUUGAAUCCUAAAGGAGCAAAGCAGCUGGACAGAAGUGAAAAUCUAGGCUGGUCAACAAGGUGCCUAGUUUGCCACUUCUCUCGGUUUGGCUCUCAGCUUAUAUAGUCGUUGAUCAUAAGGUUUAAAACCACUGGAGCCAAAGCUUCAUCAUUUCCACGGUAUUAGAUUUUGUCAUCUUCCAGCAGUAUAUGUUGUAUUUGAAUUGUUUUAUUUGAUUUGAUUUCCUGUGCAUCAAAUGAUUCGAGUAUAUGAGUUACUUUGACAAAAUAGAAAGAAAAAUAGAAAGUUGUAAAAAACACUGGUAGGGAGGAUGUCAUUCAGAAGCUUGUAAUUUGUGUGUAGAAAGCAUAUAGGAUUCCUGGUGUAUUAUUUAUGAUGAAUUUUAAUAAUAAUUAGUUUGUUAAAUGUUGUCUGAU